GAUGAACGCUGGCGGCGUGCUUAACACAUGCAAGUCGAACGGGAUCCAAGGGGUGCUUGCACUUUUUGGUGAGAGUGGCGAACGGGUGAGUAACACGUGAGUAACCUGUCCUUUUCUUUGGGAUAAGCAUUCGAAAGGGUGUUUAAUACCUUAUGUUCUGUCUGCCUCGCAUGGGGUGGGUGGGAAAGGCUUUGGCUGGAUUUGGGUGGGCUCGCGGUCUAUCAGCUUGUUGGUGGGGUGAUGGCUUACCAAGGCUUUGACGGGUAGCCGGCCUGAGAGGGUGGUCGGUCACAUUGGGACUGAGAUACGGCCCAGACUCCUGCGGGAGGCAGCAGUGGGGUAUAUUGCACAAUGGGCGAAAGCCUGAUGCAGCGACGCCGCGUGGGGGAUGAAGGCCUUCGGGUUGUAAACUUCUUUUGCUCUGAACAAGGCAUGCCAGUGGGUGUGUUGAGUGUAGGGGUUGAUUAGCGCCGGCUAACUACGUG
rnacentral:rRNA from 1 species